UACAGUGCUGUUCACUUUUCUUUCAAUCUGACUGGACUGCGUCAUCACUGAAAACCCUACAGUGGUUGGCGUAUGCCGCUUGUGGAAUGUCGGACAUGUUGUUUUUAAACAAUUAGCAGCGGGGGAAAAAUUGAUUACGAUGGCGAGAUUGGCCUUUUUUGGCCAAGCAGACCUAUUCAAGGACAGCUGUUAGGAACCGGUGACUGUCCAAAGGGGAUUGUGACAUUAAGGUAAAAAAAACCUAAAUGUAUGUGGCUUACUCAGAGACAGACAGACAGAAAUGUUUUUCUAGUUAUGCACUCUCUCUAGCUGUUAUUCCUGGCUUAUAUUGGCGAUAU